CAGGCCUAACACAUGCAAGUCGGACGGGGUCUUCGGACCCAGUGGCGAACGGCGGAGUAAUACAUAAGCAACGUGCCCUAAAGACUGGGAUAAUCAUUGGAAACGAUGGGUAAUACCAGAUGUGGUCUUCUCUUGGCAUCUUGAGAAGAUUAAACGGUUUUUCGCUUUAGGAGCGGCUUAUGGCCUAUCAGGUAGUUGGUGGGGUAACAGCCUACCAAGCCGACGACGGGUAGCGGGUCUGAGAGGAUGAUCCGCUCGAGUGGGACUGAGACACGGCCCACACACCUACGGGUGGCAGCAGUUGGGAAUCUUGCACAAUGGGGGAAACCCUGAUGCAGCGACGCCGCGUGGAGGAUGAAGGGUCUAGGCCUGUAAACUCCUUUUGACGGGAAAGACUUAGGACGGUACCCGUUGAAUAAGGACCGGCUAACUACGUGCCAGCAGCCGCGGUAAGACGUAGGGUCCAAGCGUUGUCCGGAUUUACUGGGCGUAAAGAGCGCGUAGGCGGUCUGUUAAGUGUGAAGUGAAAUCUCCAGGGCUCAACCCGGAAACUGCUUCGCAUACUGGCAGACUGGAGGGAUGCAGAGGUUUGUGGAAUUCCUGGUGUAGCGGUGAUAUGUAUAGAUAUCAGGAGGAACACCCAUGGCGAAGGCAGCAAACUGGGCAUCAUCUGACGCUGAGGCGCGAAAGCGUGGGUAGCAAACAGGAUUAGAUACCCUGGUAGUCCACGCCCUAAACGAUGGAUACUAG
rnacentral:rRNA from 1 species